UACGUAGGUGGCAAGCGUUGUCCGGAUUCACUGGGCGUAAAGGGUGCGUAGGCGGUCGGGUAAGUCUGAUGUGAAAUCUCACAGCUUAACUGUGAAACUGCAUUGGAUACUAUCCGGCUCGAGGAAUGGAGGGGAGACUGGAAUACUUGGUGUAGCAGUGAAAUGCGUAGAUAUCAAGUGGAACACCAGUGGCGAAGGCGAGUCUCUGGACAUUUCCUGACGCUGAGGCACGAAAGCCAGGGGAGCAAACGGG
rnacentral:rRNA from 1 species